UUAGUCCUUCAAAGGAUUCCUUUGACAUGUUCCUAGCAUGAAUCCGAAUCUUACGGGAUUCACGAACAGACUGACGGGAAGGUUUCAAGCUCCUGAUAGGCAUGCUGGGAAGCUGCCCAAAGCGAGGCCCGCGGUUCGGUCAAAAUUCGUCUGCAGGCGAUCGUCUGCGUUUGUUCUGGUUUAACUUUUUCACAUCGAACUUUAAUACGGAUUGAUUUUGACUGGCUAUCUGGCUCUGGAAUUGUCUGAAGGUAUGCAAUGUUAUGUUUUGGCAAAUACAAGUACUUCUGCAUACCGUUACGUGCAAAUUAUUGUGAGAUGUGUCUCCUACAUGGGGAGGGGGGCAACCUUCGUAUUUACAUGGUAACGGUCCUGUUAGAUAUUUUUGUAUCUUUGUUUCGAAUACAACUAAUUUUUGGUCCUGGAAUUCGUCAAAGUUAAGGCAAUUAUUCUUAACAAAGGCCGAUGUGCCACAUGUAUAUGUCAAUGCCUGUGAACUGUUGCUUUUGAAGUCUCCACUGAAAAAAGCACGUAUUUCCUUCUCUUGUGCCCUUUCAUUUUCAAAUACUGUUUUGCUGGUAUCCUCAUUUGCUUUUUUUCGUAUACUUUCCCAAAUUUUAGCAUGCCAUUAAGGUCAAAUUAAAGAGUAAGUUCACCAACGUAUCGACUGGCAAAAAGUUGACGAGUUUACUACACCUAGCAAUGGCACAUUAGAGCCUACGGAUGAGUCAACUUAUGACAACCCUCUGGUUCAUCCUCCACCUUCGCUGCUACCACCAGAGAACAGUUCUCAUGACCAAACACGUUCCCACAGAACAUAUGCUGCGCACAAACAACUCAAAGUGACUGGGUGGAGGGACAUUCACGACAAACUUCUCGCAACUAGUACAGAGCUGUCUGCAGUGCUCCAACAUCCUUCUUCUGCAUGAUUUGUAAGCAGGAACAGCCCAUGGACAUCUAUAGGUGCCGAGACAUUCUGUUUGAGCUGCUUGGAGCUCCACCAUGAGAAUUCGCUCCACCUCCCAGAAGUAUGGACGAAUACAAGUACGUUUCCAACCCACAUGGAUCCUAAAGCCUGUCUGUGGUGCUGUGACGACUAUAGAUGUACAACUGGAUCAUCACCCAGAGCCCUUAAAGUGUAUGAUGAUGCAGGACGACCACAUGUUGUGGCUGUGCUCUUCUAUCACUGUGAACCGGAACCAUUCACUCAUCUCUGACUUGGACUGUGGCCAGCAAGAACAGACAGACCUGAAACAGCAUUUUCCGUAUCUCUUCUAGAAUGUCUGGUUUCUUUCAGCCUAGCAUGCCAUGUCUCUGUGGACGGUUUCUGCACCGCACUGCGAUGGAGGAACAACCUUUCUCUUCAUGAGCUCACGGUACAGCUCCUGUUAGGAGUUUCAGAAGGUCUGCAACAGGCUGCCCAGGAGAGGGAUGGAGUCACUUUUAAUAGACAGUCCUGUGGGGAGGUAGGAAGGGGAAAAGCAGCAGGAAGGACAAAGGAGGCUAUAUAGAG